AGUCGACGAGAUCUUCGGGUCUAGUGGCGCACGGGUGCGUAACGCGUGGGAUCUGCCCUUUGGUUCGGAAUAACAGUUGGAAACGACUGCUAAUACCGGAUGAUGACGAAAGUCCAAAGAUUUAUCGCCAGAGGAUGAGCCCGCGUAGGAUUAGCUAGUUGGUGUGGUAAAGGCGCACCAAGGCGACGAUCCUUAGCUGGUCUGAGAGGAUGAUCAGCCACACUGGGACUGAGACACGGCCCAGACUCCUACGGGAGGCAGCAGUGGGGAAUAUUGGACAAUGGGCGAAAGCCUGAUCCAGCAAUGCCGCGUGAGUGAUGAAGGCCUUAGGGUUGUAAAGCUCUUUUACCCGGGAUGAUAAUGACAGUACCGGGAGAAUAAGCUCCGGCUAACUCCGUGCCAGCAGCCGCGGUAAUACGGAGGGAGCUAGCGUUGUUCGGAAU
rnacentral:rRNA from 1 species